rnacentral:ncRNA from 2 species
CUCUUAUCAAGAGUGGCUGAGGGACAGGCCCAAUGAUGCCCGGCAACCGUUCCAAACGGAAUUGGUGCUAAUUCCUGCAAAACAAUUGUGUUUUGAGAGAUAAGAG